rnacentral:rRNA from 8 species
CAAAACUUUCAACAACGGAUCUCUUGGUUCUGGCAUCGAUGAAGAACGCAGCAAAAUGCGAUAAGUAAUGUGAAUUGCAGAAUUCAGUGAAUCAUCGAAUCUUUGAACGCACAUUGCGCCCGCCAGUAUUCUGGCGGGCAUGCCUGUUCGAGCGUCAUUU